CUUGGGGAGAGAUGCCCACAUUGAUGUACAACAAGUUUCCUGAAGCCAAGGUGAGCCUCUUUUAUAUGUUUGCGAGAGACCAUAUCCAGUAGCGCGAAGGAGAUCUGUUGCCUCUUCUACGAAUCUUCCCCAGCCAGCGGCUCCCGUGUGGUUGUGAUGGCAUAGCAAUCAAAUAUACAAGGUGUGUAUAUGCUUGGCUGGGAGGUUCUAGAAGACAUGUGCGCUAGCCGAUUGUCCGCCGACACAGCGGGAGGUGCCAGUCUCUCAUCCACUGACCAAGCGGCGAGGAGGAGCUCCACCGUGAAGGAGACAGUAGACUGGCAAUGCCUCAUUGCUACAACAGUGGUACCAUUUCGAUGCGUUUAACCUUGGUGUCAGGAUC